UACGUAGGGUGCAAGCGUUAAUCGGAAUUACUGGGCGUAAAGCGUGCGCAGGCGGUUCUUUAAGACAGAUGUGAAAUCCCCGGGCUCAACCUGGGAACUGCAUUUGUGACUGUAGAGCUGGAGUACGGUAGAGGGGGAUGGAAUUCCGCGUGUAGCAGUGAAAUGCGUAGAUAUGCGGAGGAACACCGAUGGCGAAGGCAGCCCCCUGGGUCAAGAUUGACGCUCAUGCACGAAAGCGUGGGGAGCAAACAGG
rnacentral:rRNA from 1 species